GAAAUGCGAUAAGUAAUGUGAAUUGCAGAAUUCAGUGAAUCAUCGAAUCUUUGAACGCACAUUGCGCCCGCCAGUAUUCUGGCGGGCAUACCUGUCCGAGCGUCAUUUCAACCAUCAAGCCCCCGGGCUUGUGUUGGGGACCUGCGGCUGCCCGCAGGCCCUGAAAACCAGUGGCGGGCUCGCUGUCACACCGAGCGUAGUAGCAAUCACCUCGCUCAGGGCGUGCUGCGGGUUCCGGCCGUUAAACAGCCUUACAAAACCCAAGGUUGACCUCGGAUCAGGUAGGAAGACCCGCUGAACUUAAGC
rnacentral:misc_RNA from 1 species